AGAAAAUAUUUCACAAGUUGAAGGCGGCGAUAAAAUGUUUAUCUGUAAGACAGAGUUUGUCUAGUGAUUCAAGUUUUUGUUACAGUAGAGUUAUGUACAUGUAAGUUUUGUAACAAGUGUUGUUCAAUAUACAUGUAUAUUUCUUAACAAUUGUGUUCAGUUGUGACAUAAACGUAAUACAUGUAUAUUUCUAAACUUUUGGAAAUCAAAAUUUUUUAUAUGUACAGUUUCUGAACCUGAGUUUUACAUAAAUUCUGAAGUAUCUUGAGUUUUAUGUUUGAGGAUGAAGAUGAGUUUCAUGUGUUCAAUUUUUUAAAGUUUUAUAACUUGUCUGUUUUUCUCUGAUUUUACAUUACAUUUUCGUAUAUAUGGUUAGUUAAAUUACCAUGACCUCAAAUAUUGUUCACUUUCUGUAUAUAAAAGUGUUUUUAUCUUUUUAUCGUACUAGUGAAUGUUUGCAAUAAAUUUUGACUUUUGCUGUCGAAGGAUACCUACGUCAUUUUAAUCUUUUUUUUUAUUUACAGAGGCAUGAAAUCGAUAAUAACCAGUCUCACUAUAGAACUGUCGUAUAUUGACCUAAUGUAAAAAAAAGUCUGCACUUUUUACGUAAAAAGUAGUUAUUGAGUUUUACAGGUAUGUCAUAUAUUGAUGUUUAAUUCUUUUAUGAGUUUAUAUUUGCGCCUUAAAUGUUUUUAGGUCAGAAAAUAAACCUGUGAAAAUAUU
rnacentral:misc_RNA from 1 species